GCCACAUCCACAACACUUAUAGGGAUGGUGAUUCCACCACUUCCCUGGGCAGCCUAUUCCAAUGCCUGAUGACCCUUUCAGGGAAGAAAUUUUUUCUAAUAUUGAACCUAAACUGCCCCUGGCACAGCUUGAGGCCAUUUCCUGUUUUCUUGUUACUUGGUGCUAUCCAAAUAUUUCUGCUUAAAGUAGUUUGUUAAAUCUUAAGAAGGAUCCCUUCUGAGAAUGUUUAUUUCUGUUUGCAUUACAAAGCAAGACCUCUAAUGAAAAAAUGAAAUCCUACUGAAUGCUGAUGAUGGAUUACAAAACUUGACACUGGAUUUUAAGGCUGGAAUAGAUUUUCAAGGAGCAAACUCCCUGCAGUUGCUACGGAGUCACUCCCUCCUCUCUUCAUCCGAGGCAAAUAAUUGUUAAUACUUGACACUGGUGAGCCUACAUUUCCCAUCUGAACUGCUGGUCUCCAGUUUCUAAUGGAUUGACUCCAAAGCUGUAAGUCAGAGCCAUCUCUCAGGCAUUUUGAACAUGUCAGCUGCAGAGUGCUUGGAAAUCUGCAAAAAGCAAUGGACAAACCAAGCUGUGAUUAUCCUCUGGUGAGAUUUUGGCCUGUAAGUGAAAAAGUAGAUGUGGCAGAAAUUAGAGUGAUGGAAGUGUGUGUAUUCUGAUCCCUGCUCCAUUUCCAUGAGAUAUUAAUCCUUGAGGAAGGGGCCCUGUGAACUCUUUGCUGUCACUGAGACAAGCUGCACCAGGCCAUCUCCUGGAACCAGAGCUUCUCUACAAGACACCUGAAAAGAGCGUUUUGACAUAAAGGGUUUUUUUUGUAGCCAGAGGAACCAAGGGGAUCUGCAGACUCCAUCCUCUGACCAAGCAGCAGUGCCUGUCCUUGACCAUGCUUUCACCUGGAUGGACGAAGUUACAGUGGGAAAUAAAAUGAGCCAUCCUACCUCUCUCUUGCUUGCCC